rnacentral:rRNA from 1 species
GACGAACGCUGGCGGCGUGCUUAACACAUGCAAGUCGAACGGUGAAGCGCCUUCCUUUUUGGUGGGUGUGGAUGAGUGGCGAACGGGUGAGUAACACGUGAGUAACCUGCCCCCUUCUUCUGGAUAACCGCAUGAAAGUGUGGCUAAUACGGGAUAUUCUGGGUCUGUCGCAUGGUGGGUCUGGGAAAGAUAUUGUUUCGGUGGGGGAUGGGCUCGCGGCCUAACAGCUUGUUGGUGGGGUGAUGGCCUACCAAGGCGGUGACGGGUAGCCGGCCUGAGAGGGUGGACGGUCACACUGGGACUGAGACACGGCCCAGACUCCUACGUGAGGCAGCAGUGGGGAAUAUUGCACAAUGGGCGCAAGCCUGAUGCAGCGACGCCGCGUGAGGGAUGGAUGCCUUCGGGUUGUGAACCUCUUUCGCCAGUGAAGCAGGCCUGCCUCGUUUGUGGGUGGGUUGACGGUAGCUGGAUAAGAAGCGCCGGCUAACUACGUG